rnacentral:rRNA from 1 species
GGGGUGACCGCGUGCUUUUUGCAUAAUGAGCUCGGGAGUUAGCCUCUGUGGCGAGCCUAAGGCCUAACGGGCCGGAGGCGGAGCGAAAGCGAGUCUGAAUAGGGCGCUUUAGUCACGGGCGGCAGACGCGAAACUUGGUGAGCUACCCAUGGUCAGGUUGAAGAUCCGGUAACACGGAUUGGAGGACCGAACCGGUAAACGUUGAAAAGUUUUCGGAUGAACUGUGGGUAGGGGUGAAAGGCCUAUCAAACUGAGAGAUAGCUCGUACUCUCCGAAAUGCCUUUAGGGGCAGCCUUGGGCCACUCUCUGCGGGAGGUAGAGCUACUGAUUGAGCUAGGGCGGGACCCCUCGCACCGAACUCAGACAAACUCCGAAUGCCCGUAGAAUUAUCCCAGGAGUGAGCCGCCGGGUGCUAAGGUCCGGUGGCAAGAGGGGAACAACCCAGAUCGACUGCUAAGGCCCCCAAGUGUUGGUUAAGUUAAGCUAACGAGGUGUGGGUGCACAGACAGCCAGGAUGUUAGCUU